rnacentral:rRNA from 1 species
CCAAUAGCGUAUAUUAAAGUUGUUGCAGUUAAAAAGCUCGUAGUUGAAUUUCGGGAUCAAUAUGUUGGUCGUGCCAUUGGUACGUACUGGCAUUAUUGGUUUCUACCUUCUGAAGAACCUCGAUGUCAUUAAUUUGGUGUCUUGGGGAAUCAGGACUGUUACUUUGAAAAAAUUAGAGUGUUUAAAGCAGGCUCGCGCUUGAAUACAUUAGCAUGGAAUAAUGAAAUAGGACGUUUGAUUCUAUUUUGUUGGUUUCUAGGAUCGAUGUAAUGAUUAAUAGGGAUAGUUUGGGGCAUUAGUAUUCAAUUGGCAGAGGUGAAAUUCUUGGAUUUAUUGAAGACUAACUACUGAGAAAGCAUUUGCCAAGGAUGUUUUCAUUAAUCAAGAACGAAAGUUAGGGGAUCGAAGACGAUCAGAUACCGUCGUAGUCUUAACCAUAAACUAUGCCGACUAGGAAUCGGAUGAUGUUAAUUUUUUAAUGACUCAUUCGGCACCUUACG